GCACAGAAUAAGUGCCAAUAAAUAUUUGUUGAAUUGAUUUUCCUCUUCAAAGAUGUGGCAGAAAGACCCUCCUGCCUUAUGGACAUAAUUCUUUUGUGCAGCGGUUAUUGAAUUCCUUCUGCAUGGAUAUUGGUUGCAUCAGCCAAUACAAGAUGUCUUUCUUGUGUUUCCUGAUGUGGAAACCAGACCCUGCUCUGUGAUGGAGUCUCCUGAUGUUGACCAGCCUCUUCCUGCCUCCCUACAGCAAGGUGGGGUCCUCCCUGAUGAUGACAGCAAGAUGCAAGUUAAGACUAUAAACCCUGUGUGGUGAGGAACUCUGUCCAUGUUACUCAGAACUGUAUCCUUUGUUCCUUGAGGAGUGUUUGUACAGAGAUAAUGCCUAAGUCAUUUCUAAGGGGAUGAAGAGCAGCUUUAUGACUUAGAAGGAAAUGUAGAGAACAGUUAAUGUGGAUUUAAAUUUAGUGAAUGCAAGCUUAUUUAACUAGAAUUUGCUGCUGGUGUAGAAAUGAAAGCUACCAGGUCAUCUUGAGGAUUGAAAUGUGGAAAGAAACACCAGACAUGAAGAACAGAUAAGAAAUUUGUGAAUUUUGAGAAGGGAGAGAUUUGUUUUCCAUGUCUUCUAAAGGGCUGACCUCAUUUGUGGUAUCCCAGAAUGUGGAACCCAGACCCAAAGAGAAGUAUGGUUUGUGCAAUCAAAGAUUUUCAGAAAUGGAAUGGGCCUGCUCAGGAGGUGGUGAGUUCUUUGACAUGGUCAAUAUUCAGGAAGAGGUGGGGUGAAUUUGUGGUGGAUGGACUGAAAAACUGGGAUGUUAGACAAGAUAUAAUGUGGUCACUAUGGUUUCAUUUAAUCCUAACCUGUAUAGCUCCAGAGGCAAAAUCAUAAAUAAAUAAAUAAAUAAAUAAAUAAAUAAAUAAAUGGAAUGUGAGUG